AUUGAAACGAUUACUAUUUUACAUAAGGACACAUUGGUGGUCCGACCGAUAGGCCGCCCCAUAACUGCCCAUGUGGGGAUGACUUCACAAACAAGUUUAUUUGUUUUCUAGCAUUAAAGUCUGAUUUAUCACCAAUAUGGUUAUGAAAGGCAUCCAGCGAAUUGCGAUUGGGGCCAAACGACAAGUAAUUUAACAGCAUUUAUAGCUCAUUCAAUGCAACAGCUCGUACUUCAGUGUACUUUAGGUCAUACCUGGGAUCUAUAUCUGCAAUCCCAAAAGCGGUGUGACAAGAGGACCUCUUAAGAAUACACUGAUGUCAGGGCCGGGGGACAGCGUUGUCUGUUAGAUCGGCCGGGAUAUCACGCCUCCCAGAGCAACACGUGCUUCUUAGGAAACCAGGAAUGGAUACUCUUCACACUCCACCGAUAAACCAGUCUCUGGUCUAAAUGUGACGAUCAAGGACGAAGAUGUCGGUACUUUUAGUUGUCAGUGGAAACUGGGACGGUUGACGGACAGACCGGCGGACCGACUUCUAGAACAGCUUCCCGUAACGUCUUACAUGGCGCUGAAUAAUUCAUCGCACACCGGUAAUGUUAAUGGCAGUUCUUAUCUCAACUAGAAGUGCCAAUUGAUUAAGAUCCCGUCAGAUUUUCCAAUACUAGACCACUUCGUCGGCAGAGCACGGAAACCAGCCAUUUGGUGGUAACAUUAAGUUUGAUAUUAUCACGGUGUUUCUUGUUUUUACCAAUAACGUCCACAUCUUUGUAAACAGUGCGACUCAGAAAGGACCAAACAACCACACAACGGGUCAAAUAACUAGAGAUGUCUGCUUUAUUGGCAUUGGUUUCUUUGAAUGGUUCUUGCAUGUUCUUGGUCUAGUUGUUUUGCAUACUGUAAACCAUUUUCUUUUCUCUAGAAUCUGAGAUCAGAUACACAAAAUACAACGCAGCUGAUGGCAGUCCCGUUGUUCUGUAUGUAUCGGUUUGACGUCAUUUUGGGACACAAUGAGUCGGGGAUUUUGCGAGCAUUGUCUGAUAGAGACACUGGCUACCCCGGGUAAACAGAUCGCCAUUAUUACAAAUCUACCGACAACUGAUUAGGGACCGUUUCAGGACAUCGAUGACUGCUGCUUAAUCCGGAAUAGAUUACGUUGAUUGACAACUGCCUUUGACAGUCUUAGGUUUUCCUUUUAUCUUUUAGAAAGGUCUGCGUUAUGGAGACCUUUUUGUGCUUCUUUUUUUUUUUAUCACCAGAAGUAAGGAUGUGUUGCCUCUACCAGUGUGAAAAAUAAAAUGCUAGAA